GAUGAACGCUAGCGGCAGGCCUAAUACAUGCAAGUCGAACGAUACCAGAGAGCUUGCUUUCUGGGAAAGUGGCGCACGGGUGCGUAACGCGUAUGCAACCUACCUUAAUCAGGGGGAUAGCCUCUCGAAAGAGAGAUUAACACCGCAUAAAAUCACACUUCGGCAUCGAAGAAUGAUCAAAUAUUUAUAGGAUUAAGAUGGGCAUGCGUGACAUUAGCUAGUUGGUAAGGUAACGGCUUACCAAGGCUACGAUGUCUAGGGGAUCUGAGAGGAUGACCCCCCANACUGGUACUGAGACACGGACCAGACUCCUACGGGAGGCAGCAGUAAGGAAUAUGGUCAAUGGGGGCAACCCUGAACCAGCCAUGCCGCGUGCAGGAAGACGGCCCUACGGGUUGUAAACUGCUUUUUANACGGGAAUAAAUCUCGCUACGUGUAGUGAGUUGAAUGUACUGUAAGAAUAAGGAUCGGCUAACNCCGUGCCAGCAGCCGUA
rnacentral:rRNA from 1 species